rnacentral:rRNA from 1 species
ACGCGAAGAACUUACCUGGGCUCGAAGCACAGUGGACCGGGGUAGAAAUAUCCCUUUUCGCAAGAACUGCUGUGGAGGUGCUGCAUGGCUGUCGUCAGCUCGUGUCGUGAGAUGUUGGGUUAAGUCCCGCAACGAGCGCAACCCUUAUCGUUAGUUGCCAGCGAGUCAAGUCGGGCACUCUAGCGAAACCGCCCCGGAUAACGGGGAGGAAGGUGGGGAUGACGUCAAGUCCUCAUGGCCUUUAUGUCCAGGGCUACACACGUGCUACAAUGGUCGGUACAAACCGUCGCAAACCUGCGAAGGGGAGCUAAUCGGAAAAAGCCGGCCUCAGUUCGGAUUGGAGUCUGCAACUCGACUCCAUGAAGCUGGAAUCGCUAGUAAUCGCGGAUCAGCACGCCGCGGUGAAUACGUUCCCGGGUCUUGUACACACCG